rnacentral:lncRNA from 1 species
CUCCCGCGUCACUCCCGGCCGCAUACCAGCCCGGGCGGGGCGCCCGCGGCCUUGCUCCCCGGCGCCCGCUCCGCCCCGCCGGCCGCUUCCUGCACCUCCCGGCCCGGCCGCCACCUGCCCUGCGGUGGAAGUCCGCAGCCCGGGAGCGCCGCUUCUCCCUAGCGCCUUGUAGCAGUGGGUUAAAAAAAAAACAGAACAGUACGGACCCUCCAGCGAGACUGGCGUUUACACUUCGGCCACUCCUUUAGCCUCCAUUUGGGGAUUUGGUCCAGGGACAGACGCUGAGAAGAAAUAACAGCGUGGAAGCCAAGUCCUCCAUUUACUAUUGGCUGUCUAACAUCACACUUCCCACCACCUACGGUCUGUGCCGUGGAAGAGCCAGGUGAUGGUGGCACACACUUUUAAUCCCAGCACUCAGGAGGCAGAGAGGCAGGCAGAUCUCUGAGUUCAAGGCCAGCCUGGUCUACAAAGUGAGUUCCAGAACAGCAAGGGGGGUUACACAGAGAAACCCUGUCUUGGAAAAAAAUAAGCCAAAAAAAAAAAAAAAAAGCCACAAGCUUCCCAUGUAUAGCUGGAGCAGUUCAGGAACCAGG